rnacentral:rRNA from 1 species
GACAGAGGGUGCAAACGUUGUUCGGAAUUACUGGGCGUAAAGCGCGUGUAGGCGGCCCUGCAAGUCGGGUGUGAAAUCCCACGGCUCAACCCGUGGAAGUGCACUCGAAACUGCAGGGCUAGAGUCCUGGAGAGGAAGGUGGAAUGCUUGGUGUAGAGGUGAAAUUCGUAGAUAUCAAGCGGAACACCGGUGGCGAAGGCGGCCUUCUGGACAGUGACUGACGCUGAGACGCGAAAGCGUGGGGAGCAAACAGG